GCUGGACCAAAUUAAAAUGCUAUUCUGUCAUUGUAAUAGUUCAUAUGGGCACUGACAGAAUCGCAUUUUAAUUUUGUCAAGU
rfam:Sarcophilus harrisii ctg7180002464697, whole genome shotgun sequence.